AUUGAACGCUGGCGGCAGGCUUAACACAUGCAAGUCGAGCGGGGUGAUGGUGCUUGCACUAUCACUUAGCGGCGGACGGGUGAGUAAUGCUUAGGAAUCUGCCUAUUAGUGGGGGACAACAUCUCGAAAGGGAUGCUAAUACCGCAUACGUCCUAUGGGAGAAAGCAGGGGAUCACUUGUGACCUUGCGCUAAUAGAUGAGCCUAAGUCGGAUUAGCUAGUUGGUGGGGUAAAGGCCUAACAAGGCGACGAUCUGUAGCGGGUCUGAGAGGAAGAUCCGCCACACUGGGACUGAGACACGGCCCAGACUCCUACGGGAUGCAGCAGUGGGGAAUAUUGGACAAUGGGGGGAACCCUGAUCCAGCCAUGCCGCGUGUGUGAAGAAGGCCUUAUGGUUGUAAAGCACUUUAAGCGAGGAGGAGGCUCUUUUGGUUAAUACCCAAGAUGAGUGGACGUUACUCGCAGAAUAAGCACCGGCUAACUCUGUGCCAGCCGCCGCGGUAA
rnacentral:rRNA from 1 species